AAAUAAUGUAUGAUUUAAAAGAUUCCUAUCACAAUUUUCAAUGCCUUGCCUGUAAACAAAUCUUUGGGUUAGGGUGUCUAUAUAAAUAUAUCUAAUUUUUUUAAAAAAGCAUCAUGCCAUAUUUUAAGCAUUGGAGACCUGGACACCUAAUCUGGGCUAAAAUUUUGGGUAGGUAAGCUAGGGAUAUAAGACAACACAUUCUGGGACCAUUUUAGAAGCAAGGGAGUCAAUAAAACCUUGAGAUAAAGAUUUGAUUGCAAACUGAGUUGUGCAAUAGAUCACACAAAUUGAGAUUUCAAAUGCUGCAUUACAAACUCAAAU